rnacentral:rRNA from 1 species
AGAGUUUGAGUCCUGGCUCAGGAUGAACGCUAGCUACAGGCUUAACACGAUGCAAGUCGAGGGGCAUCAGGGCGACAGCUUGCUGUCGUUGCUGGCGACCGGCGCACGGGUGAGUAACGCGUAUCCAACUUCCCCUUAGUAGGGCAUAGCCCGUAGAAAUGCGGAUUAAUACCCUAUGUUUUCCGAUGAGGACAUCUGAUUUGGAACAAAGACUUGUCGCUAAGGGAUGGGGAUGCGUCCGAUUAGGUUGUUGGCGGGGUAACGGCCCACCAAGCCUUCGAUCGGUAGGGGUUCUGAGAGGAAGGUCCCCCACACUGGUACUGAGACACGGACCAGACUCCUACGGGAGGCAGCAGUGAGGAAUAUUGGUCAAUGGGCGUAAGCCUGAACCAGCCAAGUAGCGUGCAGGAUGACGGCCCUACGGGUUGUAAACUGCUUUUAUGCGGGGAUAAAUUUGGGGACGCGUCCCUUUUUGCAGGUACCGCAUGAAUAAGGACCGGCUAAUUCCGUGCC